GAUGAACGCUGGCGGCGUGCCUAAUACAUGCAAGUCGAGCGAAUGGAUUAAGAGCUUGCUCUUAUGAAGUUAGCGGCGGACGGGUGAGUAACACGCGGGUAACCUGCCCAUAAGACUGGGAUAACUCCGGGAAACCGGGGCUAAUACCGGAUAACAUUUUGAACCGCAUGGUUCGAAAUUGAAAGGCGGCUUCGGCUGUCACUUAUGGAUGGACCCGCGUCGCAUUAGCUAGUUGGUGAGGUAACGGCUCACCAAGGCAACGAUGCGUAGCCGACCUGAGAGGGCGAUCGGCCACACUGGGACUGAGACACGGCCCAGACUCCUACGGGAGGCAGCAGUAGGGAAUCUUCCGCAAUGGACGAAAGUCUGACGGAGCAGCGCCGCGUGAGUGAUGAAGGCUUUCGGGUCGUAAACCUCUGUUGUUAGGGAAGAACAAGUGCUAGUUGAAUAAGCUGGCACCUUGACGGUACCUAACCAGAAAGCCACGGCUAACUACGUGCCAGCCGCCGCAGUAA
rnacentral:rRNA from 1 species